GACGAAGGGGGCUAGCGUUGUUCGGAAUUACUGGGCGUAAAGCGCGUGUAGGCGGUUAUCCAAGUCGGGUGUGAAAGCCUUGAGCUCAACUCAAGAAAUGCACUCGGUACUGGGUGACUAGAGGACCGGAGAGGAUAGUGGAAUUCCCAGUGUAGUGGUGAAAUUCGUAGAUAUUCGGAAGAACACCAGUGGCGAAGGCGGCUCACUGGCCCGGUACUGACGCUGAGGUGCGAAAGCGUGGGGAGCGAACAGG
rnacentral:rRNA from 1 species